AAAAAAUCCACGUCCAGCCCAAUCUGAGCCUUAUAAAAGGUACCUGGGUCUAGACCUGAUUUGUCUGCACUGAGCGAAUCUGAGAGCUCUGCAAUCAUGAAGCUUAUUCUUGCUGUGCUGGUGCUGGUUUUGCUGGUUGAGACCCAGGCGCAAUGGCACCGCUUUCCAGGACAAGCCGUUGGAGGUACAAAGGACAUGUGGCG